UUUUUACUGUUCAAUGAGUCUGCCAUCGCUGAAAAAGUUCGUCUCUCUCUCUCUCUCUCUCUCUCUCUCUUCUUCUUACGUUACNNNNNNNNNNNNNNNNNNNNGCAGUAACAUUUUACUUGUUCAAUGAGUCUGCCAUCGCUGAAAGUUACGUCUCUCUCUCUCUCUCUCUCUCUCUCUCUUUUCUAAAAGGUCCGGGUGGAUGUGAUGAGCCCAUGUGUUGCUUGUUUGGUUUUUACAGUCAUAUCUGACUCUCUUCGGCUCAGUGGUUGCCAUUUUACUGUGUCGGCAGGGUAUCAAUCCGGUCUGGUGUCAGAGGUUUUAACCGAUGGUUACUCUUAUCGUUCAAGUUCUUGGAUUACAAGUAUGAGGCGGCGAAGGCUUUUUGUUUUUUCGUGAUCAGGGACAUAAGGGCAGACAGAGCAUAUUUGGCUGUUCGACUGUGGGAGCAGAGCUGUAGGCUGCUUGGGAGGGCGUUUUGUAUGCGAGACGAGUGUUGAGGGCCGACAUACUUAUUCUCGAGGAUGAUUGUUCUACAGUGAUUGACUGGAUACGAGGUGUAGACACGUAUGUGGACGGUCACCAUCUGAUACGGGACACUUAUAGUUUGGUGCAGGAGCUGAUCUUCUGUCAGAUGACCCAUGCUUACCGAGAGGCGAACAGUGCAGCAAACUGGAUCGUCUCUUAUGUCGCCCGGCACACUGGGGAGGUCUUCUGGUCUAGUUUAGAUGGCGUUUUACACGCCUUAUUUUGUUUACUAUGUCUCGCUGUAUUCAC
rnacentral:lncRNA from 1 species